rnacentral:rRNA from 1 species
CACGUAGGGCGCAAGCGUUUGUCCGGAAUUAUUGGGCGUAAAGAGCUCGUAGGCGGUUUGUCGCGUCUGCCGUGAAAGUCCGGGGCUCAACUCCGGAUCUGCGGUGGGUACGGGCAGACUAGAGUGAUGUAGGGGAGACUGGAAUUCCUGGUGUAGCGGUGAAAUGCGCAGAUAUCAGGAGGAACACCGAUGGCGAAGGCAGGUCUCUGGGCAUUAACUGACGCUGAGGAGCGAAAGCAUGGGGAGCGAACAGG